ensembl:lncRNA
CAGUGAGCGAGUACUUUUAACACUGAGCUCAGACUACCGGAAAUUCCUGCAGACUUCCUGAGGACAUGUCCAUUGUGCCGUUGGACAAAAACAAGCAACCAAAUUGAUCCUUUUUUUCUGAGCCAAGGACUCAUCAGACUCCGGUUCCUAGGAGACUGGGCGGAGGAGGAGUAGGAGGAAACAUCUUUGGAUUACAGACCUAAAGCAGUGAAGGUCACCAAAUGCUGGUAGAGCGAGGGAAUCGGCAGGAUUCGAGCAUCAAAGUGGGCAGUGCAGCUUGAGACCUCAGUAGAAUGGAGUCGUAAAAGCAGAAUGCAGCAGCCCGUCUCCUGACCGGGACAAAGAAGCAUGGCCACAUAACGCCAGUGCUUUCUUCUCCACUGGCUUCCAGUCGACGGGUGAAUAGAAGGUGGUGAAGAAUCUGCAGCAGAGGGAAGCAGCUGACGCAGCACAACAGGCCGCAUACAGGAAAGGACAGAGGAGACUCUGCUUCCCCGGGAAGCCCCGCACCGUCCCUGCGCUCAACAAAGUGACAUUUAGGCAGCUUUGUUGUUGCAAGCAGUGUUACGGUGACACGCGUGGUUCAGUGAUGAAAACGAAGCGUCUCCUCUGCAGCUCAAAGCCCAGCGGGAGUGUAGACGGCGUGAGACAAGCAGAGGGGCGGUGGGGCUGCAGGUUUCCAGGAAUUUAGAAGCCGCCCCACACACACGCACACGCACACGCACACACACACACACACACACACACACACACACACACACACACACGCACACGCACACGCACGCACACAAACCAGUAUAACCAUCCUGGCAACUCCACCUUAGUGACCCGCUGACACUAAUCACCCAGGGGCCCGAGGGGCCUCCUGGAAUCCUUCACACAGCUCCAACAUUUCAGAAAUAACGCAGCGCGGUGCGACAUCGGCAGCGCCGAAUCACCUGGUCUACUUUUGGUUUUAAUGUUAUUACAGAGGGUGUAAAAAUAUUCUUAUUUAUGCAUGUUAUUUAUUUGAAUUUAAAUAUAUAUACUUAUUGCAUAUGAGCGUAUGUAGGGACCUUUCUUUAAACUUGGCUCUGUGUGAAUUCUUUAAGAGUUUUAUUCUUUAUUAUUCAUUUUUAUUUAACUCAAGCCAUUUGAUUAGUUCGGAUGGGAAAUGCUAACAACUCGUGGUCAUAAGCCACACAGGUUGGGAAGCUGCAAAUGCAAAAUGUAUUCUCUUAUGAAAUUUUACAAUUAUAUUUUUUGUAGAAUCUUAAUCUGCAAGUGAAAAAAUAACUAAAGCUGUUGAAUACAUUUUAAAAUACAAUACAAUACAAAAGAGUGAACCUGAUGAAAAUCAAUUUAUACUUGAAAAGUCUUUUUCCAUCAUGCUGGAGAUGACCACUACUACAAUGACCCUUAUUAAUGCUUAUUUGGUAUUUUCUGUGGAGUAAAAACCAAUAUGAAUAUUCUCUCAAAUAACAUAAUGUAUUCAUGUGGAAUGCAAGAUUAGAUAUGAAAUAAAGUGACAAACUAGUAAAUUGUUGAAAUUUAAACCAACGUGAAGAAUCAUGAUUUAAAAAAAGAAAAGAAGCUGUUUAUGAAAAGAUAUUUUAUUUUUCUUUGUGGAGUAAAAUAACACAUACAAAAUAAGAACCAUAACGGACUUAUUUUUUUAAUGUCAAAGCCUUAUUUAAUAUCGAUAUAUUGCACAAACAAACUGUGCAGAAACAUUUAUGCCAUCAGUGUGAACAGAACUGUCAUCGGUACAAAACAGAAGGGGAAAACGAACAGAUUCGAUAACAAACUGUGAACCAGCUGGCUGCUUUAAUCCACUUCCACGUCUGGCUCAGUGUGUUCGGAGGGAGGCGGCGGCGGCGGCGGCUCCCGGGGCGGCUCUGGGCGUGGCAGAAGGACGAAGAAGAUCAGUCUGCAAUCCUGAUGUAUUCAACAAAUGGAUGCAUAUUAUUUUUUAAUCACGCUAAAUAGAGGUGGCCUACGGCGUGCACAGAGGAUCACAGCAGCGGCCCCAGGCCGCGGUGGAGGCGGGUAGUGGAGGAACGCCGGGGGCCCGCGGGGGCCGUAGCUGUAAAGCCCAGCGGGCACGGGGUGAAACCCCGGCACGUUGAGCAGGAUGUUUGGACGCGGCACGUAGUCGCCGGGGUAACCGGACAUCCAGGGGACGUGGAGGACAGGCAGAGGGGCGGCCGGACCAAAUUCACCAAGGAAAGGGGCACCUGUGAGGAAAGGGUCUUUUGGGUCUUUCCUGCGGCAGGAUGGAGUCCAAGCCCCAAACAACUUGCAAUAUCAUAUUAUGCCUGUUAUAAUAAAGCAUUGUUCACAUUUCAACAAGUCUCUUCGGAUUGAAAUGUGUCCACUGCAUAUUUAGGUGCUGCAGUCGAAACCUUGAUUAAAAGAUCAACCAUAAUAACUCGUAUACUUGUAUGGCACUUAAAAAUAGUAUAUAAUAAAAGUAAUAACACUGAUUUUUGUCGUAAUUGUUUUCUGUGAUUGAUUUGUACAUGUUACUGCUAUAGAUGUUUCUUAUGUACUGAGUGAUAGUUUACAGAUAUGCAGCACAUUGUUUAAGAACCAAAGGUCACAGUACAGCUCGUGUUACAGACAGUGGAAGAGAAUGUUUGGCUUUUUUUGUUGAAAGUGAAAACUAUACACUGUAAAACCUGAUGAGUAAAGUCAACUCAAAUAGUUCUAGGAAACCGAUUGCCUUGAACCAUUUAAGUUAAAUAACUCAAAUCCUUUUAGUGAAAAUAGUUGCUUAAAUGGAGUAUUCCUAACUCAAGUAUUUCUUGUUAGGUAUACUUAAGUAAAUAAGUGACUAGUACUAAUUCCAUU